GUCAUGGCUCAGAUUGAACGCUGGCGGCAGGCCUAACACAUGCAAGUCGAACGGUAACAGGAAGAAGCUUGCUUCUUUGCUGACGAGUGGCGGACGGGUGAGUAAUGUCUGGGAAACUGCCUGAUGGAGGGGGAUAACUACUGGAAACGGUAGCUAAUACCGCAUAACGUCGCAAGACCAAAGAGGGGGACCUUCGGGCCGUCUUGCCAUCGGAUGUGCCCACGAUGGGAUUAGCUAGUAGGUGGGG
rnacentral:rRNA from 1 species